UUUUCUUUUUUUUUUCUUCAUAUUCCACAAGUUCGUACGUUAAAGAAGGAAUGACUCGACUUUUUUAACGUACUACGUUCUUCAAUAUUUUUCAUUUUUAUAUUUGCCUACGCGGGUCGGUCACACCAAGUCUCGAGCUAAAGACGAGAGUUCGUUUCUUUGAAUAUGCCGCAUGACACAUUAGACAUGAUAUGUACAUGUAUAUAUCCACGGCGUUAUUCGAAUUCAGAUAUUUAUUAUCAUAGGAUAGAGAGAGGGUGAGAAGGAGAGUUGAACGAGAAAGUUUAGAAAUAUAGUGAGGGAUGAUAAAGAGAGAAGAAAUUAUUACUGAGAACGUAUGUGUGAGCAUAUAUAUGUGUGUAUGUGUGUGUAUGUAUGUGUAUACAUAUAUGUAUAAUCAUGUAUCUUAGAAUUAAUACUCGGAUUCGAUAAGAUAGCUGACUAGCUAGUUAGCGUGAAAUCGCUGCGUGAAAAUGAAUGAUAAAUAUUCCCCUCCUCCCCUAUAAGGAAACGCGAAAUAAGAAAGAAAGAGAAAGAGAGAGAAGAAUAAUGAAUUUCAUAAACACCGUGAAUAUAUGUGUAUACUACACGUUGGUAAUGAUUAUAAAUGGCGUCGACGAAUUAAAGUUGGAUAUAACAUAACGAAAAAAGAACACUCUCGGCUCUCUCGGAUGUAUUCUUCGUGUCCGGUAUUUAUACUUUUGUUAGAUUGAUAACUAAUUAAUUAGAAUGAAAAGCGUUAAGAAAGUUAAAAAGAAAAAAAAAAAAGAGUAUUACGAAGCGAAACGAAACGGUAUAAACUACGUUUAUAUAUUAUACUUUCUUAUCUGACUCUUAUCUUUCGAUCUUUUUCCUAAGUUUGCAACAACAAACACAUAUAAUACCGACAUAACCUCAACUUAUCCCCUUGUACACAUAUAUGUAUAUACUGUGUCUGGAGAAAAAAAAAAUAAUACUAGACUUUAUUCGCGAAUCUCAAGUACAAAAAAACACGAGACAGAACGUUUAAAGCUUAUCAACAGAUGCAAAGAAAUCGUCUAAACACGAUAAUCCAAAGAAAGAAAAGGAAAGAAAAACGCAAAAUCAUACGAUAAAGGAGGAGGUGGAGGAGGAGAAGGAGAAGGAGGAGGAGGGGGAGCCCUCUGAUCUAAAUUAGCCGGAUUGCCCUUGAGAGACCGUGAUCUAUAACUCGCAUAUGCAUCCUACAAAACGAGGUGCUUGCAAAACGCGAGUUGCGUACAUAUUUCACGUUGAAAUGAAGAGAAGAAAAAAAAAAGAAAAAAAAAAAAGAAAAGAUAAUUAUCGACGGAUCUAUAAUCUACGAUUAAAUAUAUUCGAAGAAAAGUAUUAACAAAGUCCACAAAUGAUAACAGUAUGUAUAAAACGAAUACUAGAAAAAAAGAUUGAGCGAGAGCGAGAGCGCGCUUCAGAGAAAGAGAUAGAAAGAGAAAAAGAGCGCGAAAUUUAAAAGUGUUAAUCGUAUGAACGCGUAACUCGUCCCCCCUGUACUAGUAGGACUUUAAAUUCGUUUUGAUGUGAAACAGACGGCACGUUGGCCACUAUAAAUGAGAAAAAGAGCGAACGUACGAGUGAGAAAAAGAAAGAGAGAGAAAAGAGGAAAGUAGAGUGAGAAAUAAGCAAGAGAGAGAAAAGAGGAAAGUAGAGUGAGAAAAAAAAAGCAAAAAAGAGAGAGAGAGAGAUAGAACGAGUCUCGCAUACAUAGAGAAUAUAACAAGGGCGUAGACUUCGAGGGACCCUACAAACAAUCCAUCGCGUAGAAUGUUUCAUGUUACGAUGUUAACCGCGUUUUUCUUUCUUUCUCGUUUCUUUUUUUCUUUCUUUCAUUUUUUUUUUUUUUUUACACGAAUCCAUGUGUCUAUAUUCUCUUUUUCUUCUCUCUCUCUCUCUCUCUCUCUUUCUUUCUCUACCGUUGUUUUCUUUUGUGUAUUUUUCCGAUUCUGACUUUCGUAGUGAAAAUAAUGGCGCUGGUCAGAAGCGAAACUAUGGAAGAAUUCGUAGUAUAUAAGAGGAACCACGAAACAAUGGGCAGUGAUUACUGAACGGCGAAAGGGUGUGGCAGCACCAUUGAGUCGUUACACGCAGGAAUAGAGCGAGUAGGGGGAUAAUAUGCGCGUAUAUGCGCACGCUUUAGCCUCAAUGUCACGAAAGAAAAGACACGAGGAACGGAAUGUUUUCACGUUCGGAAAGACGAAUGGAAUUCAUCCAUCUGAAUACUUCAGAGAAGACUAUACUGAUUUUUAAAUACAUUUCAUGAUCCUUUUC